AUUGAACGCUGGCGGCAGGCUUAACACAUGCAAGUCGAGCGGAGCGAGGGUGCUUGCACCUUAGCUUAGCGGCGGACGGGUGAGUAAUGCUUAGGAAUCCGCCUAUUAGUGGGGGACAACCUUCCGAAAGGAAUGCUAAUACCGCAUACGCCCUACGGGGGAAAGCAGGGGAUCUCCGGACCUUGCGCUAAUAGAUGAGCCUAAGUCGGAUUAGCUAGUAGGUGAGGUAAUGGCUCACCUAGGCGACGAUCCGUAACUGGUCUGAGAGGAUGAUCAGUCACACUGGAACUGAGACACGGUCCAGCCUCCUACGGGAGGCAGCAGUGGGGAAUAUUGGACAAUGGGCGAAAGCCUGAUCCAGCCAUGCCGCGUGUGUGAAGAAGGUCUUCGGAUUGUAAAGCACUUUAAGUUGGGAGGAAGGGUUGUACGCGAAUACCGUGCAAUUUUGACGUUACCGACAGAAUAAGCACCGGCUAACUCUGUGCCAGCAGCCGCGGUAAAAC
rnacentral:rRNA from 1 species